AUUGAACGCUGGCGGCAGGCUUAACACAUGCAAGUCGAGCGGAGAGAGGUAGCUUGCUACUGAUCUUAGCGGCGGACGGGUGAGUAAUGCUUAGGAAUCUGCCUAUUAGUGGGGGACAACAUUUCGAAAGGAAUGCUAAUACCGCAUACGUACUACGGGAGAAAGCAGGGGAUCUUCGGACCUUGCGAUAAUAGAUGAGCAUAAGUCGGAUUAGCUAGUUGGUGGGGUAAAGGCCUACCAAGGCGACGAUCUGUAGCGGGUCUGAGAGGAUGAUCCGCCACACUGGGACUGAGACACGGCCCAGACUCCUACGGGAGGCAGCAGUGGGGAAUAUUGGACAAUGGGCGCAAGCCUGAUCCAGCCAUGCCGCGUGUGUGAAGAAGGCCUUAUGGUUGUAAAGCACUUUAAGCGAGGAGGAGGCUACUUUAGAUAAUACCUAGAGAUAGUGGACGUUACUCGCAGAAUAAGCACCGGCUAACUCUGUGCCAGCCGCCGCCGUAAUAC
rnacentral:rRNA from 1 species